ACUCCUACGGGAGGCUGCAGCAAGGAAUUUUCCACAAUGGGCGCCAGCCUGAUGGAGCAACGCCGCGUGGGGGAUGACGCGUUUCGGCGUGUAAACCCUUUUCCGAGGGACGAAAAUCAUGACGGUACCUCGGGAAUAAGGUCCGGCUAACUACGUGCCAGCAGCCGCGGUAACACGUAGGGACCGAGCGUUGUCCGGAGUUACUGGGCGUAAAGGGCGCGCAGGCGGUUGGUCGCGUCGGGCGUGAAAGCCCCCCGCUUAACGGGGGAGGGUCGUCCGAAACGGGCCAACUGGAGGCAGGGAGAGGUCGGUGGAAUUCCCGGUGUAGUGGUGAAAUGCGUAGAUAUCGGGAGGAACACCAGUGGCGAAGGCGGCCGACUGGACCUGACCUGACGCUGAGGCGCGAAGGCGUGGGGAGCGAACGGGAUUAGAUACCCCGGUAGUCCACGCAGUAAACGAUGUGCACUAGGUGUCGCGGGUGUUGACCCCUGCGGUGCCGGCGCUAACGCAGUAAGUGCACCGCCUGGGGAGUACGGCCGCAAGGCUA
rnacentral:rRNA from 1 species